rnacentral:rRNA from 1 species
CCUACGGGAGGCAGCAGUGGGGAAUCUUGCGCAAUGGGCGAAAGCCUGACGCAGCCAUGCCGCGUGAAUGAUGAAGGUCUUAGGAUUGUAAAAUUCUUUCACCGGGGACGAUAAUGACGGUACCCGGAGAAGAAGCCCCGGCUAACUUCGUGCCAGCAGCCGCGGUAAUACGAAGGGGGCUAGCGUUGCUCGGAAUUACUGGGCGUAAAGGGAGCGUAGGCGGAUAGUUUAGUCAGAGGUGAAAGCCCAGGGCUCAACCUUGGAAUUGCCUUUGAUACUGGCUAUCUUGAGUAUGGGAGAGGUUAGCGGAACUCCGAGUGUAGAGGUGAAAUUCGUAGAUAUUCGGAAGAACACCAGUGGCGAAGGCGGCUAACUGGCCCAUUACUGACGCUGAGGCUCGAAAGCGUGGGGAGCAAACAGGAUUAGAUACCCUGGUAGUCCACGCCGUAAACGAUGAGUGCUAGUUGUCGGCAUGCAUGCAUGUCGGUGACGCAGCUAACGCAUUAAAGCACUCCGCCUGGGGAGUACGGUCGCAAGAUUAAAAACUCAAAAGGAAUUGACGG